rnacentral:rRNA from 1 species
GACGAACGCUGGCGGCGUGCUUAACACAUGCAAGUCGAACGGAAAGGCCCUGCUUUUGUGGGGUGCUCGAGUGGCGAACGGGUGAGUAACACGUGAGUAACCUGUCCUUGACUUUGGGAUAACUUCAGGAAACUGGGGCUAAUACCGGAUAGGAGCUCCUGCUGCAUGGUGGGGGUUGGAAAGUUUCGGCGGUUGGGGAUGGACUCGCGGCUUAUCAGCUUGUUGGUGGGGUAGUGGCUUACCAAGGCUUUGACGGGUAGCCGGCCUGAGAGGGCGACCGGCCACAUUGGGACUGAGAUACGGCCCAGACUCCUACGGGAGGCAGCAGUGGGGAAUAUUGCACAAUGGGCGGAAGCCUGAUGCAGCAACGCCGCGUGCGGGAUGACGGCCUUCGGGUUGUAAACCGCUUUCGCCUGUGACGAAGCGUGAGUGACGGUAAUGGGUAAAGAAGCACCAGCUAACUACGUG